UCACAAUCCACUGCCUUGAUCCACUUGGCUACAUCCGCCCC
rnacentral:tRNA from 1 species